GAGGAGAGGUGGUGGUGCUUCACACACCGCACACAGGGCAGACACACAGGACCUGUGCGGAUCUGGCUGGGAAAGGGCUCUGGCUCCUGUACUCUUCUCUAUAAGAGAAUGACUCAGAGCCCAGACAAGCCCACCAGAGACAGGUUUUUCUGACUCCUGAUAUUUUCAGAACAAGAUGGGGUGGAAGUAGGGAAGAGAGUCCUGGUGUCUGUCUGCUCCAUGGUGCAGCCUUCUGUGGGUCUAAGCCUUGCUGAGGACUGAGUAGUGUGGGAGAGGAAGGCACCGCCUGCAAGACCUGCACUGUGGCCCAGGAAGGAUGGGGGCAGCCUUUGCAGAGGGAAGGAAGGGCUGUCCUGUUGCACGUGGGUGGAGGUAGCCCUUGAAGUGGCCCCGUAACCAAGGAGGUGCCUCAGCGUCCACUCAAGGAUUGGCUGUGUCCUCUGAGGGAGGAGGCCAUCCUACGAGACAGUCAGGCGGUGGGAAGGUGGACGGUGGGAAGAUGGAUGGUGGCAUCUCAGCUAUGGGCCAGGCCACUCUUAGCCACCUUCCCCUCAACCUUCUCCUUGUUGGUCUCUGGUGGCCUGCCUGCCCUCCAGGGUGGCCUAGCAGCAAACAUCAUUCUGUAUGGGCCAGCCACAAUCUUUCUAGGUUUGUCUUGGACAUGCACCCACAGUUCUGGAGUGUCUACAGGGCUCCCUCAUACUGAUGGUUCCUCUUAUUCCUAGCUAGUGCCUUCCAGGUAGCCUAGGGUGCGACUUUACCUCCUGACUACUGUGAUGGCGGGCAUUUCUGGAGUGGAGACGGAGGCUAAGGAGAAACAGCAAGAUGGGGUGGGAGGCUCCUUUGUCCUCUGCACGGCAUGGGCAGAGCUCCCACCACCUGCACAGGACAAUGCCAGCGUCCCUUCCUCACAGCCCAGGGAGCAAAGGGAGCUGCUGUAGCACGGGCCACAGCACAGGCUGUCAAGUGUGAGGGUGUGGCUAUCCACAGUGACUGGGCCAUGCUGGAACGGCCAGUGGUUGGUGCCACAGCUGGCCUCCAGCCACACGUCAUUUCCCCUCUGGCCUUUGCAGACAGCUGUGUAUCUAAAUCAUGUAAAUGGCCUCUUGGAACACCAGCUUCAAAUUUUACUUCAAGCAGAGUGGAAGCAAAGGGGGAUACAAAGGUGAGGCUGUGAGCCCAGAGCCUCUGCAGAGUGAGUGACUGCCCCCCCCUGGAGAAGGCCCUGCUGCAAGCCUGCCUCGAGGGCACGGUGCCUUGCACUGGGUGACGCUUGCCUGCAGUGCGGAAGAUCUGCAUGUGGGUGGAGGAACAUCAUACAUGUUGCUGGUAAUGUACAGGGCCACAUCCAAGUCAGCCCUGAACACACCCCUGGUCACAGGUUGUCUGGCCACAUGGGCUUCAGAGAUGAGAUGGCUCCUUUGUCCUCUCACAACCGAAGGACAGACCUUGUCUCAGGGCCACUGCUGUUCUUAACACCUUUAAUUAAACCGGUUGGGACCACCUCACCCCACCUCCUGCCAGCCUUUCACUCAAACAUUCCAUACUGUUCCUUGGUGACAUUAGGCUGGGUCUGACUUAGCACUUGCCGAUGGCCCCCGGAAGACAGUGACACUGUCACCCAUCCUGACAGCACAGGACAGUACAGUUCCUGGGCAAAAUAUUCAGCCAGAGGCGGUGUUCCACCCCCUACAGUAGAAUACGCUGUCCCACUUUCCGUACUGCCGGCCUGUUCCCUAACAACAAGACCACAGCUAAAUGAAGGCACUUGUUCAGAUAAUCAAUCACAUGCUCCAUAUGAUGGGACCAGUGGUUAGGCUCGAAGCAUCCAUGAUUCGUCUCCGGGCUCCAGUCCUGAUCUCAGGUUUCUGUGAAAACGUGGAGGGAGGGAACUGGCUGUUUCUGGAAGCUGACAGUGGGACUCCCCAUAAGGCUGGCGGCAUCACGCGCCCUCUGGUGGUCUCUGGAGAGGAGUGGCACGUUUACAGAAGGCUUCCCAUAGGACAGCCAUGAGAGGCCGGGAGCUCCUGGAAUUGAUGGGUUAUGACAGCUGCUGGGCUGUCGCCAGAUUCAGGGCAGUGUGUACCUGGCAUGUCUACAUACGCAUGCUAAAUAUGCAGCUUCAGCUGGACAGGAAGAGGAAUCUCAGACGUGCUUUCCUUGAAACUCAGUGGAUCCCUGACCUUUAAAAAUAAACCCUGAGCAGAGUCUUGCCAUGUUGCAUAGGGUGCCUGAGAGCUCCUGGCUCGUGCUGGGACUGCAGGAUAGGCCUCAGCCAAGGGGUGAGCAGGGGUCACUCCGUUCUCACAGUUUAUUCCAAGGCCUUGCACAACUUUGGCCAGAUCUCCCCUCCCCUCCCCCCUUUUGAAGCUGCUGAGCUCAUGGAUUGUGUUUAAACCUCUGACAAAGGAAUCUUUUUUAGAUUCCAGGGGUCCAAGAAACGCUUUGAAUCGUGGAGUGAGCCCACAGCCUGUGAACAAAGGCAUCGGUCUCUGGCCUGCAGUGGACACAGUCCUGGUGCCAGGGUGUGCUACAGCUUUGCUGUCAGAGCCAGUGAUGUGCAGAAGACCCUGGAGAGACACUCCACAUCCAAGGACAGCUCUCCCCUGAAGUGCACUGCAGAAACAGCCACGGUUUGGGGGUGAGACGGGAACGCCAGCAAGCAUGCAGGAGGAAUCGGCUACAAGUGCUGUACAGUGCCCUGCUAGAGCCCAGCCUGCUACUCUGGUGAAGAUGAAACACGCUGGCCCGGGCCGGCUCCAAGACGCUCACAGUUGCAACCUCCAAGAGAGCCAUGAAUCAGCACCGUGGAGCUGUGCCAGGGCUCAUCCUGCUCCGGGGAUGGACAGGGGAAAGGCAAGAGGCUCCAGAAAGGAUUUCGGCUCAGAAACUCGGCCUCCUGAUUCCUGUAAGUGCAUUGUCCGUCAGCCAGGUAGGAGCUCUGCACAGGCAUGGCCCCAUUUAUGUCCGUGUAUCCCUUGCUAGCUAUGAGCAGUUGCUUGCCAAAGACCAACUUCCAAUCCUGAGUCGAGAUGGCAGCAAGAAACUGGUGUGCAGGCCCUGUGCUCAUGGUGGAGAGGCAGGCUCUUAGUCUCAGGCCCCAUGGUCACGGAAGGUUGGUUCCUACAAAGCAAGGCUCUCCUUCCCACUGAGUGAGCCCCUCUGCUACCGCUGUGCAAAUUCGGUGCCUCUGACACCCCCAGAAAUUUUUAGAGAUGCUCUCCCUCCAGAACGUGUCGGAAGCUGUAAGAAGCUUCAGGGGUGCUCCCCUGGGCAGAGGUCUAGCUCCUCUUUUCUUUCACAGUUAAUUUUAGCAGAUGUUUAAGAUGGGAAGGGUCUGGCCUUCACUUUGGUAGGGACAUCCCACAGAAUGGGGUGUCACUGCAGAACAUCAUGCUGGCGAGAGGGAAGGGUCAGUGCAGGAGACACCUGAUCAUAGCUAUGUUCCUUUUAGCAUCCAAAUUCUGAGGCUGGGUCUGGACUAUGUAUAAACACGGGGGCACAGAAGGUUGACAUCCUCCAGCUCUGGAGCUGUGAACUGCAGUUGCCAAACAAAAUGGCUGAGCAGUGAUGGGUGGCCCUGCCCACAUAGCCCAGGGGUCCCAGCUUUCCUCUUACAUUGCGAGGCUGAGCUGCAGCUCACUGAGUCUUGGUCUUAACCUUACUUGAAAGCCUCUCUUCUGUUUAAGCAUUGGAGAGGACUACUGGGAAGGGGCAGUGUCCCCAGAGACCUGUGUGCCCUUGCUGCACCAAGCUUAGCAGUAGCAUAGCCAGCUGCUGUGAUACCUUUGAGACCAGAGACCAUCAGGAGAGAGGUGCAUGAGUGUGCACAGAGACAGAUGCAGGGUCCCACCCAGGCUGUUCUCUCCCCAGCAGAUGUCACACACUGCAGACCUUGUAGCCGUGCAUGGCACAGUGGGCACAGACUCUGAUGUCAAAUCUGCUGGUUCAAGCCCUCCUUGUUCAAGGCCUGGCGCUCCUCAGCAAUCCAGUCACUAAUGCACUUACUUCCCCUCCCCGAAUCUCCUGGGAAAGGCUUCUGUUUGAGUCACUUGCGAAAUGGCUGCUCUCUGUUAAGGCCGAGACCUGGUUGCUUUAGUGUUAUCUCUAAAUGACACCAGAAGCCUGGUUGUCUGAAAGUAAAUUAUUACGUUCACCUGACAGGAGACUGUGUUCUCGUUCACACUCUAUUCCCUCCCUCCCUCUCUCCCCCCUUUCUCUACUCCCUCCCCUCUCCCUCCCUUUCUCUCCCCACAUUCUGACUUGCACCUUGAUGUUGCAUGGAUAAAAGAAUAAAAAUUGUCUUCCAAGUGCUUUUUAAAGAAAAUCGUGUGAAGCCUGGAGCUCUGUGAGCCUGUCUCCGUGGCCUGGAAUGAUCUGUUCUGUGCUCCAGUGCCGGGAGGAAGGAGGGGCUCAGUGUUGUCCUGGCUUUUCUGCUCUCAGUAAAUACAGUGAUCAAACGGCUGAGGCCUGCUUCCUGUCAGCUCCACAGUCAGCCAGCAGGGAACACAAAGCUGUAAUUGAGUGGAAGCCUCAUUUCUUGGUGUCUCAUUUUUAAGUCUUUGCUGGGAGCAUGUUGUCAAUGGCAUUCUCAAUGAAACGUGUCCUUUUGCAUCCUCUGAGUUGAUGGGUGACGUGGACAGAGCCCGGUGCAGUCCCUGGGCAUGAUGCUGGAGUGGGAAGACCUGCAGCCUGGGUGACAGGGUGGACUCCCACCCUUCCAGAUACUUCCCUGGGACCUAAGGCCAGCAGACCCUCCUCCCUGCAGGUGAACCAGGCGAGUCACGGGGAGGGGGAUGGGCGGUGGCGCACAGCACUUGGCAGGUGCCAAGGGCCAUGUUUCCUUCCCACUCUGGUUGUUCCUGCAAGGGCCGUGCAGGAAUCAGAUGCACAUGCACAUCUGCUGCUCCACUCAGAGACUAGUUUGAGUCAUACGGGAGCGAAUAUGACAGUCUGCAGCAGAAGGCACACUGCACACGACACUUGUUACUGCGUGUCACUACGAGUCCUUUCUGGAGGUUUUAUCUAUUCUAGCAGUGCAUGCGUCCCUUGGUGAAAAUGCCAAAAGCCAUAAGAAACAGUGCAGUCGCUUAAUCUCCUGUGCUUUCCUGUGGUAAUCAUUUACCAGGGACAGAUGUGGGCAAGGGAAGACACAGAGGCCCUGCCCCACGCUCACAGAGCAAGCACAGGUAUCUGUGUGUGUGCGCGUGCGUGCACACAUGCUGUGCGUGCAUGUAUGCAUGAGCCAUCUACACAGAAAACAGAAUGUCUACAUGGAAACGCAUGGUACUGGACCUCUUCCCUUAUAGGCAAAAGCAGAAAAAGGUUUUGGUAUUGUCCUGGACUUCUAGUCCCUGUUAGUGGAGUUAGUGGCCAGAGAGGAGGGGCAAAGGCACAGAAGAGACUACUUUGAUGAAUGCUCACUGCCUCAUCCCUCUGGGAACAGGGGGCUAAUCCUAACCCUAACCCUAACCUUACAGAGGUCUCCCAGUCCACCCAACCUCUGUUUAUCAGAGGUGAGGCGAGGCUAAUGAGGGCCCCACCCACUGUGGUGGCUGGGAUCAGGGAGGACAGAGCACUUCCUGGAGGCCCAGUGUGGUUCUACUCAGUCUCUGUCCCACACAACCACCUUACAAGACCAGAGGAAAUGUCUCCAGGUGCCAAAGGCUGAGAAAGAGCCCUCAACAGAGAAGCAGAGGUGCUCCUUCCAGGGUCAGUGACGGCAAGGUACCUCCAAAGGGCCACAAAAGCCAGAGUCCUGGAAGCCACUCUGCCGGGUAAGAGUGGUCCCGUGCAUUCUCUCUCCCACCUUGGUGGACAGGCUUGAGUGGAGAAGCAGACAGGCUCAGGCUCAGGAAGCUGAGGGAGCCAGACAUGGCCUGUGACAGACACUACAGCCGGCUGAGAAGUGGCGUCCAGGACAGCCUCGUCCCUGACUGAUGAAGUGUGUGACCAGGGCUACUUUUGUUUGUUUGUCCUGAAAAAUCUCCUGGGCCCCUAGAUGCAGUAGAGAAGAAGAUCUUGCCUUCUGUUCCAACCUGCCCUGUUCCCUAUUCCACAUCAGGGGCCCUGUGGGCCCUGGUCAGCCUCCAUUCUGGCGGUGUGGGAGAUGCUUUUUCUGUGGGAAAUCUAUAGAGACUGGGCUUCUGUGGAGAUCUGCAGGAGUCACACCACAGAGGGCAGGGAGGACCAUCUGAAUAAUCCAUCCACAAGCACACCAAGUGCCAGCAUCUGGGGUAAGGUAGGCCCAUUCCUGAGUGGCCUCUAAGACGAGCAGGAAAUGAUGAGGGUUGGGCCGGGUAGGACACAGAGGAGACAGUGGCUCGUUCAAGGCCCAGCUGCCCAGACUCUACCACCCCAAACUGGUGUGAAGUCUGGUGUCUGGACCAAGGCCAUCACUACAGGGCUUUAUACAGUUUGUAUGGUUUUUGUACUUGGAAUUCUGUCUUAAUUAAGGUUUAAUUGCUGUGAAGAGAUACCAUGACCAAGACAACUCUUAUAAAGGAAAACAGUUAAUUGGGACUGGCUUACAGUUUCAGUCCAGUAUCAUCAUGGCGGGAAGCAUGGCAGCAUCUAGGCUAGAGGAGGGGCAGGCUCCUCCUCAAGGGACUACACUCUGCAGACAGCCAGGUUCUCAUUUCACACAGGGUGGAGCCGGAGCACAGGAAACCUCAAAGCUCAUGCUCACAGUGACACACUUUCUCCAGCAAGGCCACACCUCCUAAUGCUUCCCUGUGGACCAAGCAUUCAGCACAUGGGUCUAGGGGGGCCUUUCCUAUUCAAACCACCAGAUUCCUUUGUAAACCUUUAUGUAUUUCCGGAGGUAGGGGAAGAACCAUGCCUGAUGUGUGGAUAUGUGUGCAAACCUGAUGUGUAGAUGUGUGCAUGCCUGAUGUGACUGUGUAUGGGGAGCACGUGCUUGUCACAGUGCAUAUGGGGGUCAGAGAACAAUUGUGGAGUCAGUUUUCUCCUUCAGUCUUUGCAUGGGUUCUGGAUGUUGAAUUCAGGUCAUCGGGCUUGUGUAGCAAACACCUUUAACCUUUGAACCCUGGCCCUGGUUCUUGAGACCACUUUUUGCCCAAGACAUUUUUUUUUCCUCUGUGACUUUGGGUACAUGGCUAUACAAGAUAGGUGUAUAAAUCAAACAGUGAUCAUAAAGAAGUUAAUUUUAAAUAGUUUCUGGGUAUACCAGUAUAGGGCCUCCCCUUUGCUAGAUUAACUGGGUUAGAAUCACCUAGGAAACAAACCUCAAUGUGUGUUUGAAAGUAUUUCUAGGGCUGGAGAAAUGGCUCAGCGGUUAAGAGCACUGACUGCUCUUCCAGAGGUCCUGAGUUCAAUUCCCAGCAACCACAUGGUGGCUCACGACCAUCUGUAAUGGGAUCUGAUACCCUUUUCUGGUGAGUCUGAAGACAGUUAUAGUGUACUCACAUACAUAAAAUAAAUAAAUUAAUUAAAAAAGUAUUUCUAGACAGGUUCAACCAAGGCAGGGGAGACUAAUCCUGGAUGUGGGCAGCAGCGGCAACAGCAGCAGCAGUCCACGGGCAAGCACAGUGCCAGCGGUCACCACUGCUUCCUGCCUGGGAGUGGGAUGUGACCAGUCAUUACAUGCUUCAGCAAGUCUUCCCACCAUGAUGAAUGGCAAGCUAACAAGCCAUGAACCAAAAACCUUUUCCUCCCAUGAUGCAGUCUUCCCAGGUAUCUGGCCUCUGUGAUGAGAACAGUAAUUAAAAAUAAAAGCCAAUUUGCAUGCUAA